AAAUUCGAUUUUGGAGCGCGUCAGUCCAGUGUUUUUACUCCGAGGUGUACAUGAGGCCUUUCGCGUCCUGGAUGACUUGUUGACCUGUAUGCUAAGGUACGGACGUCACUGUGCGACUUCAGCAAGGUACAAGGGUCAUCCUGGCUUGUCUACUGGCUGCAGAAAAGCAUUGCAUUAUGCCAUUUAUAAGCCAUUGUUUAUGUGCAAGGGUCAUCCUGGCUUGUCGAGACAUGGGCAGAGCCAACACAGCAGCAGCUGAGGUCAAGAAGAGGAGUGGAAAUGGUAACGUGGUUGUUAAGAUCCUGGAUCUGGCCUCCUUGCAGUCUGUCCAGACUCUGGCCAAAGAUGUACAGCAGACUGAAGAGAUUAAAUGAACAGUUACUGGGGCCCUCUAAAAUGAAAGCCCGGAUGAGUUUAUGGUAAAGAGCGUUUUAUAAAAGCUGUAGCACAACAUGAGCAGUAUUUUGGAAUAAACAAUGUGUUUUCCCUGUA